ACUUAAGCAUAUCAAUAAGCGGAGGAAAAGAAACCAACAGGGAUUGCUCUAGUAACGGCGAGUGAAGCAGCAAUAGCUCAAAUUUGAAAUCUGGCGUCUUCGACGUCCGAGUUGUAAUUUGUAGAGGAUGCUUCUGAGUAACCACCGACCUAAGUUCCUUGGAACAGGACGUCAUAGAGGGUGAGAAUCCCGUAUGCGGUCGGAAAGGUGCUCUAUACGUAGCUCCUUCGACGAGUCGAGUUGUUUGGGAGUGCAGCUCUAAAUGGGAGGUAAAUUUCUUCUAAAGCUAAAUAUUGGCCAGAGACCGAUAGCGCACAAGUAGAGUGAUCGAAAGAUGAAAAGCACUUUGGAAAGAGAGUUAAAAAGCACGUGAAAUUGUUAAAAGGGAAGGGAUUGCAACCAGACUUGCUCGCGGUGUUCCGCCGGUCUUCUGACCGGUCUACUCGCCGCGUUGCAGGCCAGCAUCGUCUGGUGCCGCUGGAUAAGACUUGAGGAAUGUAGCUCCCUCGGG
rnacentral:rRNA from 1 species